UAACACGUAGGGUGCAAGCGUUGUCCGGAUUUAUUGGGCGUAAAGGGCUAGUAGGCGGCUUAGCAAGUCGGGUGUGAAAACUCCAGGCUCAACCUGGAGCUGCCACUCGAGACUGCUAUGGCUAGAGUCCGGUAGGGGACCACGGAAUUCCUGGUGUAGCGGUGAAAUGCGCAGAUAUCAGGAGGAACACCGGUGGCGAAGGCGGUGGUCUGGGCCGGAACUGACGCUGAAUAGCGAAAGCGUGGGUAGCGAACAGGAUUAGAUACCCUGGUAGUCCACGCCGUAAACGUUGGGCACUAGGUGUGGGGGUUUAUCAACGACUUCCGUGCCGUAGCUAACGCAUUAAGUGCCCCGCCUGGGGAGUACGGCCGCAAGGCUA
rnacentral:rRNA from 1 species